CAGCCGCGUCGCUCGGUGAUGACGUAGAAGCUAACUUCUCCGCUGCAGCUCGGAGUUGACAAAUUCUAAUAUUACCUUUAACCUCUCUAAACCCUCUCUGGGACCUGAGCAGUUAUACUAAAGGGAUGCACGUGUCAGUGCGGGAAGUCCUCAUCCCUUCAGAUCCUGACUCCUCCUACUUCCUGCGAGUGGACUGGAGGGGGCGGGACUUAGGUUCAGGCUUCCAGUUGCUGCUGACUGAUGGACAGGACGCUUGGAGAGGAGACGUCAGUGAUGCAGUGGUGCGCGAGGAGGCGGAGGAGCUGGAGAUGCAGACAGAGCGGUACAUCCAGGACCUCCAGCAGGCUCUGACAGAGACGGAAACGUUGUCCACGUUCAGCUUCAGCCUGACGCCGUCUCCUCCUGACCGCAGCUCCAGCGUGACGCUGGCGUAUGAGAAGGUUCAGAAGGACAUCUCUUUCCAGUUGGGUUCUGUUGAGCUGAAGGCCGUCCCUGAGCCAGCGGAGGCGGUGAGAGAGAUCCUGGUCCACAGUCUGAAGAGAGGAAACACUCUGCAGCAACACAACCACAAACUGACGGAGGAAAACCAAAGACUGAGACGAGAGCAGCAGCGCAUCACUGCAGAGAUGAAGCGCUAUGCUGUUGGUAAAGAAGUCCUGGAGGCAGAGCUGUACUCUCGCUUCGUCCUCGUCCUCAAUGAGAAGAAAGCAAAAAUCCGCAGUCUGCAGGAGACGGUCACUCACCUACAGGGAAGCAGAAGCACUAAGGAAAAUAGAAAUGAGGAUUCUGUAAAGUCAGACCGAACAGCUGAUCAGGAGGAGGAUGAGUAUGGAGGCAGCACUGAUGAAGAGCCAGAGGAAGAGAAGCCAACUCCAGCUCCAUCUUCAUCCACCAGAGAGUCUGCUACUGCGAGCCCAUUGGACGACAGCCUGAAGGACAUCACAGACGUGGCCCCCUGUCGAAAACGCCGCUUUCGUCACCUCGGGGCCCCCGACCUGCCGGUUAAAAGAGCGACCCCUCAGAGCUCAGAGAGAAGGAGAAUGAAUGGACCAGUCAGCAUCGGUAGCUACAGGCGGGGUUUAGAGAUGCCAAACUGGCUCCCAUGACGGUAAAGGACAACAUCGGCCCUCUUUUGCACCACGCCAACCUUAAUCCUGUACUGCUCUGGCUUCCUCAUGGCUAUCGACCAGGCCCCAUCCCUCCACAACGUCCCCAGCGUCUGGACCAGCCCACCGGGUUCUGCUCAUCCAGUAAGCGGACCGACCCCCCUGCAGGAUCCAGUAAGCAGCAGACUCCCCAGCGCUCUGCAGAUGCUGAAGAAGCAGAGGACCUGUUUGAGGACUUUUGACGAGCGUAGGGCUGCUCUGAGGAGGAUGCACAUGAUUGUUCUGAUUUUUACUGAUAGAGGUGUCUUAUUUUUAUACCAUAUUUAUGAUUCAAGGCUCAUGGAUUGCACUGAAAUAAUGUACAAGGAAUUCUAUCUGUUUAACAUCCUGAUGGGUGACAAGCUAAAGGAAAACAACAAAUAAAACUCUAGGCCUUCACUUGAAUGGAAAAUUGUUAAGUCAGGUUGGUUCUCUGCUUUUUAAAUAGGGUCUCCUUUAAUUAGUCACCUGUCUGGAGCUCAUUAGAAUUAAAAUAUAUUUGAAACUCUGGGAAUAAAGAAGUUUUAGCUUUUUAAAUGAGAAUCAAACACUAGUGAAUGAGAUUUCUACUUACUGUUUUGUGUUUUUAAUAUCUGUACCAAUAAAUAAAAGUGAAUAUGAUUUUUGA